CAGCAGCCACGGUAAUACGUAGGUGGCGAGCGUUGUCCGGAAUCAUUGGGCGUAAAGGGAGCGCAGGCGGGCAUGUAAGUCUUUCUUAAAAGUUCGGGGCUCAACCCCGUGAUGGGAAAGAAACUACAUGUCUUGAGUACAGGAGAGGAAAGCGGAAUUCCCAGUGUAGCGGUGAAAUGCGUAGAUAUUGGGAGGAACACCAGUGGCGAAGGCGGCUUUCUGGACUGCAACUGACGCUGAGGCUCGAAAGCCAGGGGAGCGAACGGGAUUAGAUACCCCCGUAGUCCCUGUCUCUUAUACA
rnacentral:rRNA from 1 species